rnacentral:rRNA from 1 species
AUACGUAGGGGGCGAGCGUUGUCCGGAAUGACUGGGCGUAAAGGGCGUGUAGGCGGUUGAUUAAGUCUGGAGUGAAAGUCCUGCUUUCAAGGUGGGAACUGCUUUGGAGACUGAUCGACUUGAGUGCGGAAGAGGUAAGUGGAAUUCCCAGUGUAGCGGUGAAAUGCGUAGAGAUUGGGAGGAACACCAGUGGCGAAGGCGACUUACUGGGCCGUAACUGACGCUGAGGCGCGAAAGCGUGGGGAGCGAACAGGAUUAGAUACCCUGGUAGUCCACGCGGUAAACGAUGAAUGCUAGGUGUUGCGGGUAUCGACCCCUGCAGUGCCGGAGUAAACACAAUAAGCAUUCCGCCUGGGGAGUACGGCCGCAAGGUUGAAACUCAAAUGAAUUGACGGGG